UAGCAGUUAAAUGUACUGGGCACGC
rnacentral:piRNA from 1 species